UAUUUAGUUCUAUAGUUCUAUAGUUAUGAACUGGGCUCAAAAUCAGUUCACCCAGCCCUCAUGAGCAACCAUACACCACAUACAUACGUGUCAAUGAUAUUUUUAAUAAACAACGAAAUCUUUUUUUUUUAAACGAAAUAAUUCAUUCCGAUGGAAAUAAAAUUUUGAGCCGAUUCGAACAAAAUUACUCAAUAAUUAGUUCAGACAGAAUUAUCCAAUUACCAGGACAGAAUUACCCAAUUACAAAAUUACCACUAACGAGUUACACAAUUACCCAACGAAAUCUUUUGUUCAACUUAAAUUUUUAUUUCGAUUUGUUAAAUCAUAGUGGAGUGAGGGAUACACGGCAAGCAUUUUGAUUUGUAUCCUACGUGCGAAAGAUUAACAUAAGAAUUCAUUUUUCUAGAGGCACGCAAAUCAUUUUGAAACAUUCCGAUUUGAUUGCGUUUCUAUUUUAUUGGUUAAUCGUGGACCGAUGCCUGAACAUGGAACCUAAAUAAGGAUCAGAUUCUAAAUUCAGAACAAAAGUAGAUCAGAUAUCAAAGCGGAUUUGGGACAAACCAGCUUGUCUGUAACUCUUAUUGUUUAAGGUGGUGUAUCUUGUAAGACAAUCUCAGUUUCUACUAAUCUAAUCCAAUUUGCGGAAGAAAAAAAAUCUCACACCUCAUCAAUCUCACCUUUAGCUAUUUCUUAAGGGCCAACAUAUCCAAUAAAAUAAAUAAAGCAUAUCCCUAGUCUCAACCAUUUAUUAUAUACAUUAUUAUGAAUAUUUUUGAUAUUGAUACCUUGUAAAUAGUACUCCUUUCUGCCGAUUACACAAGUUGUAACCGGGAAGAAUGGGAAACACGUAAGGUAAAAGGAUAUGUAAUUGUAGAUAUACAAAUAUGCUGACGUGAAGUAACAGAUAUAGUCAAAGUGGAAACUUGUCAAAUAAGCACGAUUUUUCUACACCUAGUUGUUACGAAUGAAAGAGCAAUUUCCCUACAAAAACUAUCAUCAAUAUUAUUAAAAUUAAAGUAUCUUUUAAAAUAACAUUUACUUCUUCAUAAUAAUUAUAAAUGUGUCACUGGCUUAAUAAUUAUUAAUUAAUUUAGUAUAAAUCAUUUAUUUUGUUAUAUUAUAUUCUGACCAAUUUACCAUUAUUUUCUAAUCAAGCUUACCAUAAUUAUUUAACUGGAAUUUUUUCUAUUAAAUUUUACAGUAAAAUUGAAUAGAUUUAUUUAAAUGUGACAUACAUAUUUUAAACAAAAAAAAAAGAUUACAAUACCCUAAGUUAGUUACCAUUUUCAAAAUUAUAAGUAAUCAAAAAUACCAUAACAUUUAGAUUUAGGAUUUAGUGAUUAUUUGUUUAAGGUCUAGUAUUUAAGAGUUGGGAUUAGGUUUAUAAACUUUUAUAAAUAUUUUAUACAUUAUUAUAAAAAUAUAAUUAUUUUAUAGAUUAUUUUUAAAAACAUCUAUAAAUUAUUUAAGAGAAUUAAUUUAAUAUUUUAAUCACAAAUUUAAGGUAUUUAUGAAAAUAGUUAUCAUAUAAGGGUAAAGUUGUAAAGUGAUAUCAAACUUGUGGUAAAUUUGAAAUAUCUCCCUUUCAAUAUUAUAUAUUCAUGUAUAUUAUUAUUUCAUUUCACAUACAAAAUAAAACUAUUCAUAUUUUAUUAAAAAUGUAAAUUUAUUUUUAAAAUAUAUGUUAAAUAAUUUUAAGAUUACUAUUAUUCACACAUAUAUAUAUUUGAAUGAUAAGAAUGCAAUUGUUAAAUUUUAAUUAAUAUUUUCGACAAAAAUAAACAUAGAAAAAAAUUAUUUGGCUUAUAAAAAAAAUUAGAGACAUAUCCGUAUAUUUUAUUAAAACAUGAAUGGAUUUUAUUUGACACAAAAUAUUUUAUUCUAGAAAGAUAGAUUUAUUAAUAUACAUAAAUAUACUAAUUGGUGUUUUAAUUUUUAAAGAAAUACACAGAAAAUGAUUAAUGUAAUUAAAAAUUACUAAUUUACGAAUAUGUUAUAUAACAUAUCAUUUUGUUUGGUUUAGUAUCCAACCACAAUAUGAACAACCAACAAAUUACCGACAAUUAAAAAUCUCGAUCUAUCAUAAACUUUAUAUACUAUAAAUCGAAAAUAAACACCAUAUGGAUGUAUGUCUGUACAACUAUUAAAAUAAACACAUAUGUGCACGGAUCAAGCUCUAGUAUAAUAUUGAAUAUCUUCCAAACUAUGACCGCGUCUUAUAUAUUUUUAAAUUUUAAGUUCAAAAACUGUAUCCCUACGUAUUGAAAGUUCAAAACUCCAACUCUCAAAAAUGAAGUUUCAAACUCCAAAGCCCAUAAACCUUAAUUACAUUGGUUUAAAGAUAGUUUAAUGUUUUUUAAUCACACCAUAAAUCUUACUCUCUCCGUUUUUGAAUAAGUGUCACUUUGAAAGUAACGCAAAUAUAUGUAGAUUGUUAUUUAAUUAUAUUUUCUGACCAAUAACAUUUAGAAUAAAUAAAAUUAUUUAUAAAAUUAUUGCAGUUUGCAAUUAAUUUUCAGCUGAAAGUAAAUAUAAUUUGCAUUGGAAUUGUAAAAUGACAUUUUUUGUGUAACAAGAAAAAAAACUAGAAUCACACUUAUUAUAAAAUAGAGGGAGUAUAAAUUAUUGUUCGAAGCGGUGAGGCUUUGGCCUUGUAUCGAGUGGUGUAAUCUCAAUACUCCGAUGAUUAAAUGAAGUUGUGUUUCAAAAAAAAAUCAUCUUCAAAUCAAUGUAGUUAAAGUUUAUAGGUUUUAGAGUUUCGACUUCGAGCUUUAAUUUUGGAGAGUUUGGAAUUUUGAAUUUUCAUUCUCCAUGAAUACAGAUUUCCAACUUUAAAUUCGUAGGUAUUUAGAAUGUAAUUAUAAUUUAGAAAACAUAUGACUAUUUAGGUAUUUAGUUUACGCGGAAAGAAAUAGUUUGUAUACUCUUUUUCAUCACAUGACUAUUCAAUAUUCGACUAAUUAUUUUGGUAAGAAUAUUAAACUAAUUUUUAAAAGACUGAAAAGGUCCACAUCAUUGUGUAUCGCUUUGGAAUUGGUCUCCAUUAAUACAUAGUUAUUAACUAGUACACACCAAACAAUGCAUUCACUUCACAAUUCGUUUUAUACUUUUAUGAAACAAAUUUUGCGUAAGUUCCAACAAGAAGAAAAUAGUAAUAACAUAGUAUCAGCAAAUGGAGUUUUUCCAUAAAGCUAAAGCCGUUAGGAUGCGUAACAUACACGAGAAGUAUCUAAUGGCGGAAGAGGACGUGGAGUCGGUGACUCAAGAAAGGAAUGGUUCCGAUAAAAGAGCUCGAUGGACCGUCGAACCUGUUCGUGGUUCCUUUGAAGCGAUCCGUUUGAAGAGUUGCUACGGUAGCUACCUCACCGCUUCGAACGAGCGGUUUUUGCUCGGUGCCACGGGUCGUAAGGUGGUAUUGUCGAAGCUGAGUGGAAUUGACUCAUCCGUAGAGUGGGAGCCGGUGAGAGAAGGAUCAAAAGUAAAGCUCAAGACUAGACACGGUCACUUCCUCCGAGGCAAUGGUGGACUUCCUCCGUGGCGUGACUCAGUCACUCAUGACUCUCGUCGUAGCUCGGACUCGUUCUUGUGGGAUGUUGAUGUUGUCGAAACUACGUCUCUGGCUCUAGUUCCGGUUGCAACUCCUCCGCUACAUAGGAGGCAGUCAAGUCCUCCGAUGUCUAGGACCUCUUCAGAAAAUUCUGAGCAAGAGUUAACUAACUCGCCGCCGAAAUCUGAAGGGUGGAACCGUGUUCGCAGGCACUAAGGGAAGAGACUAGCAUUGGACAUGGAUGAUGCUGUUGUGUGUAUAUGCAAUCCCUUAAACGAUAAGCUGUUUCUUCUUCGUAUGCAGUUUCCGCCAAAUAGCAAAACAAUGCAUGUCGUUUUAGUAGCUUCAUUUACUUCUUAAAUGGUAUGCUGUGUGUGUUUUGAAAUAGUGAUCGAUGUAUUAGCACAAGUUUGGGAUAUGGUGUUGACAGAAGGUAUGAUUGGUCCUCGGUUCCGUUAUAUAAGAGUGUAAACUAUGCAGUAUAUAAAUAGAUUAUUAUUGUGGGUACUAAUCUUGCAAUUUAUUGUACAUCAUUUAUUUUGUAAACAUAUCAUUUAAGUUUUAUAUGUGAACAUUUGCCAUCAAGAAUGAUGUUUGUUACUAGAAGAUUUUUUAAAUCAAUUAUUAAAGACUUAAAAAUGCUCAAGCAUAAUUGCGCAAGUCUUCACCAACUCUUCUACUACUUUGUUCUUUUUUUCCUAUACUAAAUUGUUUUUCUAUCAAACGCUUGUCGAAGAAUCUUUUUCUUUAGGUUCAACUUUCAUUAACCAAAUUGUGAAUACAAAGAUUUUAACCUCAUUGAGAUUUAAAUUCCACGUACAACGCCGAGAUAUAGUAUCACCGAGGAAUACUUAGAAAGAUAAUACGCUACCCAAUCGAGACGAUGUUGUAUUUUUCACCACAACGAGACGAAUUCACCUCACGAUCUAAUAUGAACCGACUCUUGAACCACCUAAAUUCUACCACUAAAACAAGAUUACAAAACAAUUCCUAUGCCAAUGAGAUAUCCUAAUUAAGAGGAAUGUGAAGAGCCCGAGCCGUAGGAACCAAAAGAAUUGAAUGUAGUGCCUGACCAUCCGCAUUAACACCGUAAUGGUGCAUACUCCCAACUAGAGGAUCCUGAAUGACAAGGAAUAAACACACUUUGGAACCUUGUCGGGGCUAACGUCUCAGCAACAACCAAAACAGCGACCGAACAAGCCCAAAAGUUGGGCCGAGACUUCUAAACACCCACAAUCCAGCACCUCCCAUAAGAAGAAGAAGAAGAAGAAGCAAAUCUGUCGGGUUUGACACUUCAACGGCACCGCAAAUGGUUUACUUCAAAACAUGUAGUCACCAAGUCCCGAUCUUUCCCGAUGACCAGUCGAAGAAAAGUACGGUCUUGACACGCCCUGUAUCCGAGAACCGAAAGCCAGCUUCUGUUUUGAACGCCUUCACGCUGGUAACAUAACUGCGCUUGUCCAAACUGAAUCUCCUUCCAUCCUACGAUUGGUGUGGCCAUAGAUGACCUAACACAAUUGUGGGUGUCUCAAGAAACACAUGAAAUCGGAGCUAAAAAAAAAGUUGAGGUGCUAAGUUUGAGUCUUAGCAGUUUCGGGAAAGGGAUUAAACAACUGGUAUGAAAUUAAUUAUGUACUUACGGCCAAAACUUCUUGAUUUAAAAAAAAAAAUAUAUAUAUAUAUAUAUAUAUAUAA